rnacentral:ncRNA from 2 species
CUCUUAUCAAGAGAGGUGGAGGGAAAAGGCCCUGUGAAGCCCGGCAACCAGUGCUUUAAUCAUUAAGGUGCCAAUUCCAGCAGUUUUAAAGGCUGCAAGAUAAGAG